GUGUGUGUGUGUGUGUGUGCAUGUGUGUGUGUGUGUGUCAUUAUCAUAAUCAUCCUCAUCAUCAUGGCCGAUCGUCAUCACCGCCCCACGCAGAUUGCAUCAUGAGCUUGGCUGCGAUGAAGCGUGGAAGCCAGACCUCCAAGCAUCUUCCCUAUAUGCUAACUGGACAUAUUCUUCCCUCUAAGGCAACAUGAAGCAUCAUAGAGGGAUUAUAAGAGUAUUAUAAGUGCAUUAUAAGCAUUUGCACAGCAGGUGGUUUGUGUCAAGCUUUAUUUAUUGCAAUGCCGGCUCUUAAUAUAAAGGGCGAUAAGUACCGAUUGCUCAUUUUCUCCGCAUGUUUUUCGACAUUUGCAUGAAUGAAUUAAGCUUUUAUUUUACCGUGCACAUGCAUUGGCAAUUGUUGUGUAAGCCCUGAUACCCUUCAGGAUGUGCUUUACUAUAAAUAUGGCUACUUCAGUGCUGCCAACAGUACACGGCUUUGGCUUAUACCUAUUGCAUCACCCAUAAUCAAAGCAAAGAAUGCCCUUGCUGGUAUUAUUGCUUUAAUAUGCACUACUGUAAUCACAUUAGAGUAUUGUAUGCUUGUAACGUCCUAUGACAUGCAUUAAUUAAGAAUGAACAGCGUUAAUGCCACUUUUCAGGGUUCCCACUACAUGUCACAUGUAACAUUGUGACUUUUCUGUGACUUUCCAUCACUAAAAUGUUAAAUUUCCAUGAACCAUAAUCAAUGUAACAUGAUA